AUACGGAGGAUGCAAGCGUCAUCCGGAUUUAUUGGGUUUAAAGGGUGCGUAGGCGGUUUGCUAAGCGGGAGGUGAAAUGCCGGCGCUCAACGUCGGAAGUGCCUCCCGAACUGGUGGACUUGAAUGACUCUGCCGUGGGAGGAAUGUGUAGUGUAGCGGUGAAAUGCUUAGAGAUUACACAGAACACCGAUUGCGAAGGCAUCUCACGAAGGGUUGAUUGACGCUGAGGCACGAAAGCGUGGGGAUCAAACAGGAUUAGAUACCCUGGUAGUCCACGCAGUAAACGAUGAUGGCUAACCGCUGGGCUUAUCAGUUCAGUGGCCAAGCGAAAGCGAUAAGCCAUCCACCUGGGGAGUACGACCGCAAGGUUGAAACUCAAAUGAAUUGACGGGG
rnacentral:rRNA from 1 species